AUUGAACGCUGGCGGCAGGCCUAACACAUGCAAGUCGAGCGAGCGGCGGACGUGUGAGUUAUGUAUGGGGAUCUGCCCGAGAGAUGGGGACAAGUAACGGAAACGAUUGCUAAUUCCGCCUACUAUCGGAUGAACCGAUAUGGGAUUAGCUAGUAGGUGGGGUAAAGGCACACCUAGGCCACGAUCUCUAGCUGGUCUGAGAGGAGGAUCAGCCACACUGGAACUGAGACACGGCCCAGACCCCUACGGGAGGCAGCAGUGGGGAAUAUUGCACAAUGGGCGCAAGCCUGAUGCAGCCAUGCCGCGUGUAUGAAGAAGGCCUUAGGGUUGUAAAGUACUUUCAGCGGGGAGGCGUUACCCGCAGAAGAAGCACCGGCUAACUCCGUGCCAGCAGCCGCGGUAAUAC
rnacentral:rRNA from 1 species